rnacentral:rRNA from 1 species
AUUGAACGCUGGCGGCAGGCUUAACACAUGCAAGUCGAGCGGGGUGAUGGUGCUUGCACUAUCACUUAGCGGCGGACGGGUGAGUAAUGCUUAGGAAUCUGCCUAUUAGUGGGGGACAACAUCUCGAAAGGGAUGCUAAUACCGCAUACGUCCUACGGGAGAAAGCAGGGGAUCACUUGUGACCUUGCGCUAGUAGAUGAGCCUAAGUCGGAUUAGCUAGUUGGUGGGGUAAAGGCCUACCAAGGCGACGAUCUGUAGCGGGUCUGAGAGGAUGAGCCGCCAGACUGGGACUGAGACACGGCCCAGACUCCUACGGAGGCAGCAGGGGGGAAUAUUGGACAAUGGGGGGAACCCUGAUCCAGCCAUGCCGCGUGUGUGAAGAAGGCCUUAUGGUUGUAAAGCACUUUAAGCGAGGAGGAGGCUCUUUUGGUUAAUACCCAAGAUGAGUGGACGUUACUCGCAGAAUAAGCACCGGCUAACUCUGUGCCAGCCGCCGCAGUAA